UUACAGGGAUCACCUGUGUAUUUGCUGGUGGCUGUCUAAUAAAAGAUGUGGGUGUGGAGGAAAUAGAUUUUUAAUCAUCUGAAUGUUAUAGAGAAACAAAUUGCCAAUUUUGUUGAUGCAAGCACGUUCUCAAACAACUUGAAACUACUCCCAAACACCAACAGCCAUGUGAGAAAGAGAUGAAACGCAGUUUGUGGAAAGUAAAUUCUUGAUUAUGUUGGAAUUAAAGGGUACAUACUUUGCUGCACUUUCAAGAACUACAGAUAAAUUUGGGAGAGUGGAGAUGACUAUAUGGAUCGUGUCCUCAAAGACCUCUGAGGCCACCUUGGGAAGUUAAGUCUUCUGGAAAAACAUCACAUGAUUCACCUUCACCUACCUAAGUUUCCAUGAAGACAGUCCUCUUAUAAGAAAAUUA
rnacentral:lncRNA from 10 species